UACGAAGGGUGCAAGCGUUACUCGGAAUUACUGGGCGUAAAGCGUGCGUAGGUGGUUUGUUAAGUCUGAUGUGAAAGCCCUGGGCUCAACCUGGGAAUGGCAUUGGAAACUGGCUGACUGGAGUGCGGUAGAGGGUAGUGGAAUUCCCGGUGUAGCAGUGAAAUGCGUAGAUAUCGGGAGGAACAUCCGUGGCGAAGGCGACUACCUGGACCAGCACUGACACUGAGGCACGAAAGCGUGGGGAGCAAACAGG
rnacentral:rRNA from 1 species